AUACGUAGGUGGCGAGCGUUGUCCGGAAUUACUGGGCGUAAAGAGUGCGUAGGCGGAUAUUUAAGUGAGAUGUGAAAUACCCGGGCUUAACCCGGGCACUGCAUUUCAAACUGGAUAUCUAGAGUGCGGGAGAGGAGAAUGGAAUUCCUAGUGUAGCGGUGAAAUGCGUAGAGAUUAGGAAGAACACCAGUGGCGAAGGCGAUUCUCUGGACCGUAACUGACGCUGAGGCACGAAAGCAUGGGUAGCAAACAGGAUUAGAUACCCUGGUAGUCCAUGCCGUAAACGAUGAUUACUGGGUGUGGGGGGUCUGACCCCUUCCGUGCCGGAGUUAACACAAUAAGUAAUCCACCUGGGGAGUACGACCGCAAGGUUGAA
rnacentral:rRNA from 1 species